rnacentral:lncRNA from 1 species
CCACUCUGUGAGAAUGAGAAUCUCAGCUCUGCUGAUUUACCUUGGUUUUGUGACUUUACAUAGCUUCUCUAAGCAGUUUGGACUCAGCUUUCUCAUCUGUGAAUGGAAGAAUUCCGCUACUGUAUCCUGAAAAUACUAAACUCAUGAGAAAAUAGGUGUUGGGAUGACACCAACUUACUGAUGAGAGGCAUAAAGAAGGCCCCUUCUAAUUCAGCAUAGAAACCCAGCUCCAAGACUCCAUCAGACUGCUUUCUGAUUGUACUUUCAUCAUACAAAUGCCCUUCUUGUGUGUCCCAAAGUAAUGCGAAUAUGGGGACUGUAUCGAUUCCUUUGAAAGGCUCCUCUUCCAAUCAUGAAGGACGUUCUCUUAUAAUCAAAACACCUCUGAAAUGCCCUAGAUUCUAAUUUACUGUGGGAAUGUGGUAUUUAAAGUUAACCUUCAAUUUCUAAAAUUUGUAAAUAACUCUAAGUUAUUUCAAGAUAAAAUUCAAAAGAAUUACAGAAACCA